GUCCUUUAGUUAUUUAUUUAAGGUCUGACCUGCCCAAUGAUUUUUUAAUGGCCGCGGUAUAUUAACCGUGCAAAGGUAGCAUAAUCACUUGUCUCUUAAUUGGAGGCUGGAAUGAAUGGUUGGACGAGAAAUAUACUUUCUUUUUUUUAAUCUAUGAAUUUUAUUUUCUAGUUAAAAAGCUGGAAUUUUUUUAUAGGACGAGAAGACCCUAUAGAAUUUUAUAUUUUUAUAAUUCUGUCUUUUUUUGUUUAUUAUUAAGAUAUAAUUUAUAAUAUAUUUUGUUGGGGCGACAGGUAAAUUUUUUUAACUUUUCUUUUUUUCCUUCAUUAAUUUAUGUUUUUAUGAUCCGUUUAUUUACGAUUAAAAGAUUAAAUUACCUUAGGGAUAACAGCGUUAUUCUUUUGGAGAGUUCUUAUCGAUAAAGGAGUUUGCGA
rnacentral:rRNA from 1 species